CAGGCUUAACACAUGCAAGUCGAGGGGUAGCAUUUCAGUUUGCUUGCAAACUGGAGAUGGCGACCGGCGCACGGGUGAGUAACACGUAUCCAACCUGCCGAUAACUCGGGGAUAGCCUUUCGAAAGAAAGAUUAAUACCCGAUGGCAUAAUUAGACCGCAUGGUCUUAUUAUUAAAGAAUUUCGGUUAUCGAUGGGGAUGCGUUCCAUUAGGCAGUUGGUGAGGUAACGGCUCACCAAACCUUCGAUGGAUAGGGGUUCUGAGAGGAAGGUCCCCCACAUUGGAACUGAGACACGGUCCAAACUCCUACGGGAGGCAGCAGUGAGGAAUAUUGGUCAAUGGGCGCAGGCCUGAACCAGCCAAGUAGCGUGAAGGAUGACUGCCCUAUGGGUUGUAAACUUCUUUUAUAUGGGAAUAAAGUUUUCCACGUGUGGAAUUUUGUAUGUACCAUAUGAAUAAGGAUCGGCUAACUCCGUGCCAGCAGCCGCGGUAAUACGGAGGAUCCGAGCGUUAUCCGGAUUUAUUGGGUUUAAAGGGAGCGUAGGUGGACAGUUAAGUCAGUUGUGAAAGUUUGCGGCUCAACCGUAAAAUUGCAGUUGAUACUGGCUGUCUUGAGUACAGUAGAGGUGGGCGGAAUUCGUGGUGUAGCGGUGAAAUGCUUAGAUAUCACGAAGAACUCCGAUUGCGAAGGCAGCUCACUGGACUGCAACUGACACUGAUGCUCGAAAGUGUGGGUAUCAAACAGGAUUAGAUACCCUGGUAGUCCACACAGUAAACGAUGAAUACUCGCUGUUUGCGAUAUACAGUAAGCGGCCAAGCGAAAGCAUUAAGUAUUCCACCUGGGGAGUACGCCGGCAACGGUGAAACUCAAAGGAAUUGACGGGGGCCCGCACAAGCGGAGGAACAUGUGGUUUAAUUCGAUGAUACGCGAGGAACCUUACCCGGGCUUAAAUUGCAUUUGAAUAUAUUGGAAACAGUAUAGCCGUAAGGCAAAUGUGAAGGUGCUGCAUGGUUGUCGUCAGCUCGUGCCGUGAGGUGUCGGCUUAAGUGCCAUAACGAGCGCAACCCUUAUCUUUAGUUACUAACAGGUCAUGCUGAGGACUCUAGAGAGACUGCCGUCGUAAGAUGUGAGGAAGGUGGGGAUGACGUCAAAUCAGCACGGCCCUUACGUCCGGGGCUACACACGUGUUACAAUGGGGGGUACAGAAGGCAGCUACCUGGUGACAGGAUGCUAAUCCCAAAAGCCUCUCUCAGUUCGGAUCGAAGUCUGCAACCCGACUUCGUGAAGCUGGAUUCGCUAGUAAUCGCGCAUCAGCCAUGGCGCGGUGAAUACGUUCCCGGGCCUUGUACACACCGCCCGUCAAGCCAUGAAAGCCGGGGGUACCUGAAGUACGUAACCGCAAGGAGCGUCCUAGGGUAAAACUGG
rnacentral:rRNA from 1 species